UCAGUCGGUGAGGUCUUAGAUUUCACAGGCUUAAUUCUUAUUCCUGACUACAAUAGCUGGUUUUGAACAUAUGACAUGUAAGUUUAGGAAAUAUCAAUAAGUUAAUUAAAAAAAUAAUAAUUUUGAUGUUUGGUUUGGAAACAUUGCUAGAAAAAUCCUCAACACUUUUAAUAAAACCUUAUCAUAUAAAGCAAAACAUGUCCCAAUUUGACAGUUCUGUAAUAUAAUUGAACCUUUACAUUAUUUUAAAAAGUAUUGGUUUGUUUUCUGCUGCUUCAAUAUUAUUGUGUCCAUAUGAGCCUGAAUGGCCGCACUGUUUCUAAGUGAGACUUUAUUGACGUUUUUACUAUAUUUGUCGCCCCAAUGUGGAAUCAGCAUUUUAUUUUGACAAUUUAAGCAAAUACGCGUUUUAUCGAAGGUAGCUGGGAAACAAACAGCGCGUUUGCGUGGGCGACCUUCAGCCGCGACAGUGACACGUUGCUUCCUUUCCAGAGACCUUGAACAGGUGUGGUGACACAUCAGGGACUCGUCUGAGCUGCGCUUGACGGAAGGUAAGCAGCAGAGCAUGGUCUUUGCCUCUGAGAGGGAGAGCAGCCCUGCGAUGCUGAUGUCAGAGUGGUUGAUGAUGACGACGCUGAGAUAGAUGCUGUGUGCGGUGCCUGAUACCUACAGGAUUGAGAUUUCCUGACCCGCAGCGUUGUAGUGGUUCUCUCCCUAAUGGGUAAAUCCCUCAUCAGCCUGGGAGUAAAGGCUCUCUCCAGAUGAGCUCCAUUAAGGUUCAAG